rnacentral:rRNA from 1 species
UACGUAGGGGCGAGCGUUGUCCGGAAUCAUUGGGCGUAAAGAGCUCGUAGGCGGUUGCGGAAGUCGGAUGUGAAAUACCGGGGCUCAACUCCGGGACGCCAUUCGAUACUCCGCUGACUUGAGUCCGGUAGGGGAAGGUGGAAUUCCUGGUGUAGCGGUGAAAUGCACAGAUAUCAGGAGGAACACCGGUGGCGAAGGCGGCCUUCUGGGCCGGUACUGACGCUGAGGAGCGAAAGCUAGGGGAGCGAACGGGAUUAGAAACCCUAGUAGU